GAUGAACGCUAGCUACAGGCUUAACACAUGCAAGUCGAGGGGAAACGAUAUUGGAAGCUUGCUUCCGAUAGGCGUCGACCGGCGCACGGGUGAGUAACGCGUAUCCAACCUGCCCACCACUUGGGGAUAACCUUGCGAAAGUAAGACUAAUACCCAAUGAUAUCUCUAGAAGACAUCUGAAGGAGAUUAAAGAUUUAUCGGUGAUGGAUGGGGAUGCGUCUGAUUAGCUUGUUGGCGGGGUAACGGCCCACCAAGGCUACGAUCAGUAGGGGUUCUGAGAGGAAGGCCCCCCACAUUGGAACUGAGACACGGUCCAAACUCCUACGGGAGGCAGCAGUGAGGAAUAUUGGUCAAUGGGCGAGAGCCUGAACCAGCCAAGUAGCGUGCAGGAUGACGGCCCUAUGGGUUGUAAACUGCUUUUAUAAGGGAAUAAAGUGAGCCUCGUGAGGCUUUUUGCAUGUACCUUAUGAAUAAGGACCGGCUAAUUCCGUGCCAGCCGCCGCAGUAA
rnacentral:rRNA from 1 species